GCGCUGAUUUAGAGAGAUUAAGGUUUUUUUCCUCAUUGUUCGGCACAAUGGGACGGAAAUUUGCGUGUAUCGCAAACGCUCUUGCCUGAAUGCUGACUUUUAUAGUGUGUGACAUUGAAGUAUAAGUCAUGCGGUUGUAUGGGAUUAGACGCUGAAAAGGACGGCAGAAGAUAUUGGUGUAUCGAGCAGGACAAAAGGAGGUCUGAUAUUUGGUUACACUGUCUUAUUAAGAGACACACAACUCUGAACUCUUGACCCAUGGAUUUCCAUAAGACCUCAAACACUGACAGCGGAAAUCAAUGAGCAGUGUUUGCAUUUGGAUCUGCCCACUUCUCGUCUCCCUCACUCACACACUAAAUGAACCCCCUCAGCACCCAUUCUUAUUAACCCAGGGUUCCAGGAAGCAUCAGAAGACUCCACAACUUCAGAUAACUCCAAUCCCUCCAGGAGCGAGAAGUCAAGCUUCAUAUUAACGGCUUAGCCUCAACACACUGUUCAUUUUCAUUUAUUAUUAUUAUUAUUUGUACAUCCAGUCUGACUGUGAAUUUUAAUGGGCAGGAGGAAGGCAGGAGCCGUGCCAACAUUUUCCAGCCCAGUUCUGCCUGAGUGCACGGCCUGAUUAAAAUGCAGCUAGGCUCUUGCUCCGGCAGGCUGAAACAGACAUUCUGAUAAAAAACUGAGGGACCAAAUAUUCAUGAAGGUGGGGCUUUGCACUGGGCUCAGGAAGUGCAAAAAAGCCAUUUCAUCAGCAGUGAGAACAGGCUAGUGCUGAUGUUUUAGUGAGGAGAUGCUAAAAUCCUGUUAUUUACAUUUAUUCAUUUGGCUGAUGCUAAAAGCUACUUACAGUGCAACUUAUACAUUUUUAAUCAGUGUGAGCGCUUUGAAAAUCAAACCCGUGACCUUGGCGUUGCUAGUGCUGUACUCUACCAGUUGA